GACGAACGCUGGCGGCGUGCCUAAUACAUGCAAGUAGAACGCUGAAGAGAGGAGCUUGCUCUUCUUGGAUGAGUUGCGAACGGGUGAGUAACGCGUAGGUAACCUGCCUUGUAGCGGGGGAUAACUAUUGGAAACGAUAGCUAAUACCGCAUAACAAUGGAUGACACAUGUCAUUUAUUUGAAAGGGGCAAAUGCUCCACUACAAGAUGGACCUGCGUUGUAUUAGCUAGUAGGUGAGGUAACGGCUCACCUAGGCGACGAUACAUAGCCGACCUGAGAGGGUGAUCGGCCACACUGGGACUGAGACACGGCCCAGACUCCUACGGGAGGCAGCAGUAGGGAAUCUUCGGCAAUGGGGGCAACCCUGACCGAGCAACGCCGCGUGAGUGAAGAAGGUUUUCGGAUCGUAAAGCUCUGUUGUAAGUCAAGAACGAGUGUGAGAGUGGAAAGUUCACACUGUGACGGUAGCUUACCAGAAAGGGACGGCUAACUACGUGCCAGCAGCCGCGGUAAUACGUAGGUCCCGAGCGUUGUCCGGAUUUAUUGGGCGUAAAGCGAGCGCAGGCGGUUUGAUAAGUCUGAAGUUAAAGGCUGUGGCUCAACCAUAGUUCGCUUUGGAAACUGUCAAACUUGAGUGCAGAAGGGGAGAGUGGAAUUCCAUGUGUAGCGGUGAAAUGCGUAGAUAUAUGGAGGAACACCGGUGGCGAAAGCGGCUCUCUGGUCUGUAACUGACGCUGAGGCUCGAAAGCGUGGGGAGCGAA
rnacentral:rRNA from 1 species